UCGCAGCCAAAUAUAUCGAGUCUAGCACAGAUGGUGAACUAUGCCGGAGUACGGUGAAGUGGGGCAAAAGCCUGAUGGAAGCUCGUAGCGAUACUGACGUGCAAAUGGUUGGUCAAACUUGGGUAUAGCGGCGAAAGGCUAGCCGAACCGUCUAGUAGCUGGUUUCUUCCGACGUUUCUCUCAGGAAUUGCUGGAGAUCAAUUAGUUUGAUCAGGUAAAGCGAAUGAUUAGAGGCCUCGGGGGAGCGUUGCCGUCGGCCUAUUCUCAAACUUUAAAUUGUCAAGAUCCAGUGCUUACUUUAUGGAACUGCUGGGGUUAGUAUGAUCCCCAAGUGGGCCAUUUUUGCUAAGCAGAAUGAGGGAUGCUCCUAGCGCUUGGUUAAGGUGCCUAAAUCCUCGCUCAUCAGACACCAUAAAAGGUGUUGGUUCAUUUUGACAGCAGGACGGUGGUACGUGGCCAUUGAUGCACUCUUAUGAUGCUCUACAGAUCAGGUACCUCGUAGUGCAACUAUGCUUGCCUGCCGUGAGUGCGGCUGCUGACGUACCGGAUAUUGCUGGUCCGUUUCUGAGAAGCGCUGCGAGUAGCGGAAGGUUACUCGAUGUUUUCGAGUCAAUGGGUUGCUGACACUGCAGCGCAUCGACGUCUUUCCUACUCCAAUCGUUUGCUAGGAAGAAAUUGGUGUCCAAAUCCGGGGGGCGCCAAUAU
rnacentral:ncRNA from 1 species